CCGAAGGUAGUGGUUGUGUGCUGUGAGGGCAUCAAUAUUUCUGGCAAUUUCUAUAGAAACAAGCUAAAGUACCUGGCCUUCCUCCGCAAACGGAUGAACGCCAACCCUUCCCGGGGCCCUACCAUUUCCGGGCCCCAGCCGCAUUUUCUGGCGGACGGUGCGAGGCAUGCUGCCCCACAGGACUAAGCGAGGCCAGGCUGCCCUGGACCGCCUCGAGGUGUUUGAUGGGAUCCCACCGCCCCAUGACAAGAAAAAGCGGGUGGUGGUUCCUGCUGCCCUCAAGGUUGUGCGUCUGAAGCCUACGAGAAAGUUUGCCUACCGGGGCGUCUGGCUCACGAGGUUGGCUGGAAGUACCAGGCAGUGACAGCCACCCUGGAGGAGAAGAGGGAGGAGAAGGCCAAGAUCCACUGCCGGAAGAAAGAGCAGCUCAUGAGGCUACGGAAACAGGCCAGAGAGAACGUGGAGAAGAAAAUUGACAAAUACACAGAGGUCCUCAAGACCCAUGGACUCCUGGUCUGAGCCCAAUAAAGAUUUUAUUCCUCAUGCUUGGCCUGGCCUG